rnacentral:rRNA from 1 species
GGAUCCCUACGGGGCGCAGCAGUGAGGAAUAUUGGUCAAUGGCCGAGAGGCUGAACCAGCCAAGUCGCGUGAGGGAAGACGGCCCUACGGGUUGUAAACCUCUUUUGUCGGGGAGCAAAGCGAGUCACGUGUGACUCAUUGAGAGUACCCGAAGAAAAAGCAUCGGCUAACUCCGUGCCAGCAGCCGCGGUAAUACGGAGGAUGCGAGCGUUAUCCGGAUUUAUUGGGUUUAAAGGGUGCGUAGGCGGGUUAUCAAGUCAGCGGUAAAAUCGUGGAGCUCAACUCCAUCCAGCCGUUGAAACUGA